rnacentral:rRNA from 1 species
GAAGCGGGAAGAGCUCAAAUUUGAAAUCUGGUGGCCUCAGGUCAUCCGAGUUGUAAUCUAUAGAAGUGUUUUCCGUGCUGGCUCAUGUACAAGUCCCUUGGAACAGGGCGUCAUAGAGGGUGAGAAUCCCGUCCUUGACAUGAACUACCAGUGCUCUGUGAUACAUUUUCAACGAGUCGAGUUGUUUGGGAAUGCAGCUCAAAAUGGGUGGUAAAUUCCAUCUAAAGCUAAAUAUUGGCGAGAGACCGAUAGCGAACAAGUACCGUGAGGGAAAGAUGAAAAGCACUUUGGAAAGAGAGUUAAACAGUAUGUGAAAUUGUUGAAAGGGAAACGAUUGAAGUCAGUCGUGCUCUUUGGAUUCAGCCGGUUCUGCCGGUGUACUUCCUUUGAGUGGGGUCAACAUCAGUUUUGAUCGCUGGAUAAAGGCUGGAGGAACGUAGUACCCUCGGGUAAACUUAUAGCCUCCUGUCACAUACAGUGGUUGGGACUGAGGAACGCAGCACGCCUUUAUGGCCGGGAUUCGUCCACGUACGUGCUUAGGAUGUUGACAUAAUGGCUUUAAACGACCCGUCU